AUGCAAGUCGAACGGUGAAAGAGAGCUUGCUCUCUGGAUCAGUGGCGAACGGGUGAGUAACACGUGAGCAACCUGCCCCGGACUCUGGGAUAACAGCUGGAAACAGCUGCUAAUACCGGAUACGAGCUGCGAAGGCAUCUUCAGCAGCUGGAAAGAAUUUCGGUCCGGGAUGGGCUCGCGGCCUAUCAGCUAGUUGGUGAGGUAAUGGCUCACCAAGGCGUCGACGGGUAGCCGGCCUGAGAGGGUGACCGGCCACACUGGGACUGAGACACGGCCCAGACUCCUACGGGAGGNCAGCAGUGGGGGAAUAUUGCCACAAUGGGCGAAAGNCCUGAUGCAGCAACGCCGCGUGAGGGAUGACGGCCUUCGGGUUGUAAACCUCUUUUAGCAGGGAAGAAGCGAAAGUGACGGUACCUGCAGAAAAAGCGCCGGCUAACUACGUGCCAGCAGCCGCGGUAAUACGUAGGGCGCAAGCGUUAUCCGGAAUUAUUGGGCGUAAAGAGCUCGUAGGCGGUUUGUCGCGUCUGCUGUGAAAACCCGAGGCUCAACCUCGGGCCUGCAGUGGGUACGGGCAGACUAGAGUGCGGUAGGGGAGAUUGGAAUUCCUGGUGUAGCGGUGGAAUGCGCAGAUAUCAGGAGGAACACCGAUGGCGAAGGCAG
rnacentral:rRNA from 1 species